AUUGAACGCUGGCGGCAGGCCUAACACAUGCAAGUCGAACGAGUGGCGGACGGGUGAGCAAUGUCUGGGAAACUGCCUGAUGGAGGGGGAUAACUACUGGAAACGGUAGCUAAUACCGCAUACCAUCGGAUGUGCCCAGAUGGGAUUAGCUAGUAGGUGGGGUAACGGCUCACCUAGGCGACGAUCCCUAGCUGGUCUGAGAGGAUGACCAGCCACACUGGAACUGGGACACGGUCAAGACUCCUACGGGAGGCAGCAGUGGGGAAUAGUGCACAAUGAGCGCAAGCCUGAUGCAGCCAUGCCGCGUGUAUGAAGAAGGCCUUCGGGUUGUAAAGUACUGUCAGCGGGGAGGCGUUACCCGCAGAAGAAGCGCCGGCUAACUCCGUGCCAGCAGCCGUGGUAAUAC
rnacentral:rRNA from 1 species